UAGUGGGAGAGGGUGUCCACAUUGUAGGACAGGUCUUAGGGCUAUGGAGCCCAGUAAAUAGAAACCUUAUUUAAUGGUUAAGAUUUACAUUAACUUCUCCCCACUGUCAGACAUAUAAGGUGUCACAUGCUCUGCUGUGACACCUCCCCCAAGGGAAUGGGUGUCACAUCAGGCUGACACACAGGACAGAAGAAUAUGUGCAGUUACAUGGGUCAGGACACAACAGACAGGUCUGUGAUGGGGAUUUCUUAUGUAACACAUCUCUGCAGAGGAAGCAAAGGCUGCACACAGGAGACAUGCUGCACAAGAUCUGAUGCCUCUUUUACAGCCAGCAUCAGAAACUUUCAGAUGGCUAUUUACCUUGGUGCUGAGCAGUAAAGGCAAUGAAGAAAGUUGUUUGAUAGCUUAAAAAUGAACUUUGCUCUCUGUUGCAGGAGUUUGGCAGACCAAGAUCAGCAGCCGUGAAAAGAGACACUUAAGGAAGGAAAGGCUGAAACAAAAAGACCCCAGCAGAGCAUCUCUGGGUAGCUCAGUGGCUGAGCCAGCCUUUGACUGGGAUGAGAAGAGAGCAGUGUGGCCGCUCACAGAGGACAUUGGUGGUGGUGGAAAAGGUGCUUUCUUUGCCAAGGCAGAGUGUGGGACUGUGCUGAAGGGCUCAGGAGCUCUACGGGAAGAAUUGGCAACCUCCAGAUUAGAAGAUGAUGUUUUCUCCAAUGUAGGCUGAACAACUGAUCGAGAGACUGCAGACUGAAAAUGCUGCCAGCUGAAAGCUUGUGUUGUCAGCCAGUUUGGUCUUUGAGCUCUGAUUUAAGGUUGCACAGUUUGAUGUUGCCAAUAAUAUCCCAGGAUAAAAAAAGCUUUAGUUCCUUAUGAGGAAAUACACACAGAAUUUGUAGCUGCUAACCUAAUUCUUCCAUUUGGAUAUGUCAAUCUGUAUACUUCCUUGGCAAUGGCGCGAUAUAUUUUAGUUAAAAUUUUAAUUUAAUUUGUGUAGAUCCAUACAUAAUACACACACACAUGCACACAGGCAGAGAACUCUUGCUAGUAAAAGGCAAAGUGUAGCAGCAGAAUGUAUUGCAACCAAGGCAGUGAGUUACAACUAACAGCAUAUGAAUGGUACCAAAGGGAGUAUUUGCUGCAGAAUCAAGCUUUCAUUUUCAAGAUGCAUUGUUCUGGGACUGCAGGUAACAUUUCAAGCAUUUGUUCCCACCUGCAUUUGUAUGAUAUGUUACUUAUGCCUAGUGAUGGACAUUGCUGCAAGUACAGUACUGACUUUCUGGUGCAAAACUACUUCAAUGUUACCUGACUUGUUUGCAUCACAGUGACACAGUAAACAUGAAUACAAUAUGUGCCCAAUAGUUUAUGUGUAAAUAGACCUAAUGAUUUUUCCCCUCUUAUGUGCACAAUAUUUGAAAUUACUAUAUGUUUACAAAGAAUGUGAAGAGUUCAAAAGAAUGGAUUUAAUAUACUGCUCUUUUACAUGGCAGUAGAUAGAAAAGUCCAGAAUUACUAAUCUUAUUUUCACUGCAAGUCCCUUGCAGAUUACUAAUGCCUUGGCCAAAUUUGGAUUCUAAAUGAAGUCAUGAGAGAAGCUGGUCUGAAAUGCUGUGUCUGUGUGUGUGGCAGACUUACAUAAGAGCAAUGUGAUUUGACUUUGGGAUAGCAGGGACUCAGCCCAAAAUUGGAACAUGCCAAGUUGCUUAAGGAACCUGUUGAACAUUUGCCUUUGCAGCAUGACUCUAAUCAGGAAUGCUAGCACUUGUUUUUCAGUACCAUAAUAAGGCAGACUGUUUGGCAAGUGAAAACUCCAGAACACAUGGAGUGGAUUUUCUCUGUUCACAGAGCCUGUCUUGGUGCCGAGCUAACCAAGUGCCCUUGCCUGAUGCAUUCAGAUGCAGCUGAGGUGAGAACAUCUGUUGUACCUGCAAACUUCCCUGAACAUAAUAGUCUGUGUUUUCCAUGGAUCCAGCACCUGUUGCCUUAGUGAUACAAUGUGCUGUAAUAUUCUUACAGUACUUCAGAGUCCACACCCUUCUGAAGAACUGCAUUUUUUCCUGGCAGAGUUUACGCAUCUCUGUCUGUAAGAUCUUCUUCCUAAUGUCUUGUUAUAUGUGUUAGUGGGCACUUGCAUGUUAUUUGCAGCCCUUUAGGGUUUUAAUUUAUUACAUUUGGUAGGAAAAGUUUGACUUAAAGCCACUGAACUUUGACUGUGCAAUAGAUGAAGAGGUUUGAGCUUGCUCCUGACUUAGUGAAAUACCUGUACAUUAAGGACUUUUAAGAGUGAAUAUGUAUAUGUUCUGAUCUGCAAUUGAUUUAUGUAACUGUACUGAACUGUGACAUGUAAUAUUUAAAAUAUCAACAUGAACUGUUGUCAAAAAGGAUUAAUAAAUGCUAAUCUUGGGAUGA